UACGUAGGGUGCAAGCGUUGUCCGGAAUUAUUGGGCGUAAAGAGCUCGUAGGCGGUUUGUCGCGUCUGCUGUGAAAACCCGAGGCUCAACCUCGGGCCUGCAGUGGGUACGGGCAGACUAGAGUGCGGUAGGGGAGAUCGGAAUUCCUGGUGUAGCGGUGGAAUGCGCAGAUAUCAGGAGGAACACCAAUGGCGAAGGCAGAUCUCUGGGCCGAUACUGACGCUGAGGAGCGAAAGCGUGGGGAGCGAACUGG
rnacentral:rRNA from 1 species